UACCGGGGCUAAAGUACGAAACCGAAGCUGUGGCUACGACGUAAGUCGUGGGGUAGGGGAGCGUUCUGUGAGGGCUGAAGUCGUUCUGUAAGGAACGGUGGACUUCACAGAAGUGAGAAUGUUGGUAUGAGUAGCGAAAAGAAUGGUGAGAAUCCAUUCCACCGAAAGCAUAAGGAUUCCUGGGCAACGAUCGUCGUCCCAGGGUAAGUCGGGACCUAAUCCGAGGCAUGGAGCGUAGGAGAUGGACAACUGGCAGAUAUUCCAGUACCGGUAAUGAUUGUUUGAGCGAUGGAGUGACACAGGAGGGCAGGCAGGCAGGAGAUUGGUUGUUCCUGUACAAGCGUGUAGGAUGGGACGUAGGCAAAUCCGCGUCCUGUGAGUCUGAGGCGUGAUGUGGAGGUUCCGGAAACGGAACUGAAGCUGCUGACCCCACACUGUCGAGAAAAGCUUCUAGUUAGAGAAUUACCGCCCGUACCGUAAACCGACACAGGUAUGCGGGGAGAGAAUCCUAAGGUGCGCGGGAGAACCCUCGUUAAGGAACUCGGCAAAAUGUACCCGUAACUUCGGGAUAAGGGUAGCCGCUGUUGUGAAGUCUGCACAGACGGAGCAUGAGGCGGUCGCAGAGAAGAGGCCCAAGCGACUGUUUACCACAAACACAGGUGCCUGCUAAAGAGAAAUCUGACGUAUAGGUGCUGACACCUGCCCAGUGCCGGAAGGUUAAGGAAGGAUGUCCGGAGCAAUCCAAAGCAUUCGACCGAAGCCCCGGUGAACGGCGGCCGUAACUAUAACGGUCCUAAGGUAGCGAAAUUCCUUGUCGGGUAAGUUCCGACCCGCACGAAAGGUGUAACGAUUUGGGCACUGUCUCAACGAGGGACCCGGUGAAAUUGAAGUACCUGUGAAGAUGCAGGUUACCCGCGACUGGACAGAAAGACCCCAUGGAGCUUUACUGUAACCUGACAUUGGGUUCUGAUACAUCACGUACAGGAUAGGUGGGAGGCAUGGAAGCGAGGACGCUAGUCUUCGUGGAGCCGCCGUUGGGAUACCACCCUUGAUGUAUCGGAAUUCUAACCGUAGGAGUAACGAAACUCGGGACAGUGUCAGGCGGGCA
rnacentral:rRNA from 1 species